AUAUUAAAUAAUAAUAUGAGUACUACUUUUAGUAACUUUAAUUGUAAUAACAUGUUUUUAACGUCAUUAAGUGCCAGUAAUAAUAAUAAUAGCAACAACAGUUUAGGUGAUAUGUAUAACACCAUGCGAGUAAGGAAUAUGUAUAAUUAUGAGACUCCUAAUGAAAAUGAUUUUUAUGUUGAUAACGAUAGUAAUAACAAUAAUGACAUUUUUAAACUAUCAGGUAAUAAUAUGAAAUAUUCAAAUAAUAAUUAUUCAUUAAAUUUUCUUAACAAUAUGAACAAUAACAACAUGAACAAUAACAACAUGAACAAUAAUAACAUGAACAAUAGCAAUGUGAACAAUAACAAUAGUGGGAAAUUUAUUAAAUACAUUGAUAAUAAUUUAUAUAAUUUACAUGGAAAUAAUAUGUAUAUAGAUAAGGAUGGAAAAAUGCACAUAACAGAACAAGAUUUUAUGAACACAAAUAUGAAUAAUACUAUGAAUACAGAUAUAAAGAAGAUUAUAAAUACAAAUGAUUAUGAGAAGAGUUUAAACUUUCUCUUAAACAAAUCACAAUCUAAUGAAUACACGGAAAAGUAUGAGUAUAAUAAGAACACGAACGAUAGAUCAAGCAUUGAAAAAGGUAGUGGCAAUAACAUUGGUGGUUCACAUACAUAUUGGGAUAUGCCUACACAUUAUAGUAAAAGAAAUAAUCAGAACAUAUUUACAUUAGGUGAUAUAAAAAAGUAUAUGAAAAAUAAUGAAAAAAUAAAACAUAACUUGAAUAAUAAACCAUUUAAUAAUUCCAGUAUGUUAAAAGAAGAUAAUAUUUGUGAUACGGAUAUGAAUAACAUCAGCAUUAAACCAACAAGUGUAGUAAGCAACAAUAACGAAGACGAAUGUAAUGAAAAUUUGGGUAAAAGUAAUUUCGCAAAAUUGUUUAAGAAUAAUAAAAUAAAUUCAAAUGACAAUACGAACCUACUUAACAUUUUAAAUAAUUCGAAUAAUAAAGAUAUUGAUUUUGAUAGUAGAAACAAUAUCAAGCGUAAAAAUAUGAGUAAUAUAUUAAAUACUCUUGCAAGUAAUAACUACAUGAGUAACAACAGUUAUAUGAGUAAUAAUAACAAUUAUUUAAAUAAUAACAAUAAUAACAACAUACAAGAUGUUUUAUUUAAUUCGGAUACUAGUGGAAUAAUAAAUAGCGG
rnacentral:lncRNA from 1 species